GCUUACGGCCACACCGCCUGGUUCGCCCGAUCUCGGAAGCUAACAUAGGUUUGGCCUGGUUAGUACUUGGAUGGGAGACCGCCUGGGAAUACCAGGUGCUGUAAGCU
rnacentral:rRNA from 1 species